GAAAGACUUUGAAAUUAACCAGAUCACCACCAAGAUUGAAGAUGAACAAGCCUUGACCAUUCAGCUCCAGAAAAAGAUCAAGGAAUAACAGGUAUGAAUGUACAACCGGGUCUAGAAAUACUAACAGCAAUUUCUCAUGAAUAUAAUAUAAUGCUGAAAAUAUCCAUUGAUCUCUUCGUCUAUGCCCAUGUCUUCUCCCAGGUUCGUAUCGAGGAGCUGUAGUCUGACUGGGCGUCCUUUGCCAAGGUGGAGGAGCAGCUGGGUGAUGCCAAGAUGGAGGCGAACGAUCCAACGUGGAACAGCUCUCCAAGAGCAAGGCUGAUGCUGAGAAGAUGUGUCGUCUGUAUGAGAACCAGAAAGGCGAGGCCAAGGACAAGGUGGAUGAGCACCAGAAGUAGAACAAUGACACCAACUCCCAGAGAGCCCGCACUCAGGCCGACUGUGCUUGGCAGAAAGCUGGAGGAGCGGGAAGCCGUGGUCACUCAGCUGCAGCGCACCAAGCAUUCCUUCAGUCCAACAUUCCAUGUCAGCAGCCCUAUUCUGUAGUGGAGUGCUUAUUCAGAAUUGGGAAUGACAUGGAAAUGAAUGGGAUUGGGAAUAAUAGUAUUCCUGGUUCCAGCAUCAGUCUGGUAGCAAAAUGAAUGUGUAUAACCAUCUCAAUAUACAUACACCACCUAGUUGUUGUGCUUAAAAGUACGACUGACCUUACCUCCUUCCACCAUCUUGGCGCUAUCUCCACUAUCAUUGUCUUCAGACAUAGAGCGCCCUGGGCCAUGCUUUCCAGUCCUCCUGCCAUGACUGUGACCUGCUGAGGGAACAGUAUGACGAGGAGCAGGAGGCCAAGGCUGACCUGCAGCGAACCCUAUCCAAGGCCAACGCUGAGGUGGCUCAGUGGCCGUUACAGUCAAUACUACUCACCAAUGUGCUAUCAUUGGACAAUAAACUAGACAAGGUACGAUCACGAAUAUCCUACCAACGGGACAUCAAAAACUGAAAUAUCCUAUGUUUCAUGGAAUCGUGGAUGGAUGACGACAUGGAUAUUUAGCUAGUGGGAUAUAUGCUGCACCAGCAAGAUAGAACAGCACACUCCAAUGUUUACAACAUUGGUUGUAAACUAUGAAACAUGCCCUUCUUUUACCACUAUAUAAACCCGUUGACGAAAAUUCAACUUUCUGUUCCAAGGACAUGAGGACUUGCGGUCCCCACGUUGAAAGGACAAAGAUCACCUACAGAACUAAGCCAACCUCAGGGUGAGCUCUGGUUGAACGACAAGAACCUAACAAAAUUAGCAUCGAAUUUCAACGUGAAGAUGUCGAUCAACACGCCGAAAGGAUGAAUUUCGACUAUACCAGCCAGAACAUAGCAUGGGCUUGAAGUAUGGCAACUUGGUAUGAACUUUGAACUCUUAUUCACUAAAGAAGUGAUACUUCCUAGCCGUUGCAUUAGCAACAGCAGCUGUAAACGUGGGCUAGGAGAGGACGGACAGAGUAUCCAUUCUACUACGUUCCAGUUCACAACUAGACAUUCUUCAGAGGACAAGAGAACCUGGCCUUCUAUCUACGACCAAUCUACCGAAGCGCAGCUCAGAGUAAAUACUCUGAGUUGUACUCAGUGAUGUGUUGUGUUGAAUUUGCCCCAAAUAUAACGCUUUGUAUUCAGGACAAAAAGUUAAUUUGUUGGAAAAUCUCCCAGGUCUUUGUGGUUGAAUCUGUGUUUGAAAUUCACUGUUCAACUGAGGAACCUUACAGAUAAUUGUAUGUGUGGGGUACAGAGAUGAGGUAGUCAUUCACAAUAUUAUUGCACACAGAGUGAGUGCAACUUACUAAAUGACUUGUUAAGCUAAUUUUUACUCCUGAACUUACUUAGGCUUGCCAUAACAAAGGGUUUAAAUACUAAUUGACUGAAGACAAAUAGUCCGGGUAGCCAUUUGAUUACCUGUUCAGGAGGAUUAUGGCUUGGAGGUAAAAACGGUUGAGAAACCUUUUUGUCCAAAACUUGGCACUCCGGUACUGCUUACCAUGCGGUAGUAGAGAGAACAGUCUAUGACUGGGGUGACUGGGGUCUUUGCCAAUUUUUAAGGCCUUCCUCUGACACCGCCUGGUGUAGAGGUCCUGGAUGGCAGGCAGCUUAACCCCAGUGAUGUACUGGGCCUUACGCACUACCCUUUGUAGUGCCUUGUGGUCAUGGGCUGAGCAAUUGCCACACCAGGCAGUGAUGCAACCAGGCAGGAUGCUCUCAAUGUUGCAGUUGUAGAACCUUUUGAGGAUCUCAGGACCCAUGACAAAUCUUUUUAGUUCCUGAGAGGGAAAGGUUUUGUCGUGGCCUCUUCACAACUGUCUUGGUGUUUUUGGACCAUGAUAGUUCAUUGGUGAUGUGGACACCAAGGAACUUGAAACUCUCGUCCCGCUCCACAACAGCCCCAUUGAUGUUAAUGGGGACCUGUUUGGCCCGCCUUUCAUUUAGUCAACGAUCAGCUCCUUUGUCUUGCUCACAUUGACAGAGAGGUUGUUGUCCUGGCACCACACUGCCAGUCUCUGACCUCCUCCCUAUAGGCUGUCUCAUCAUUGUCGGUGAUCAGGCCUACCACUGUUGUCGUCAGCAAACUUAAUGACAGUGUUGAAGUCAUGUUUGGCCACACAGUCGUGGGUGAACAGGGAGUACAGGAGGGGACUAAGUACACACACCCCUGAGGGGCCCCAGUGUUGAGGAUCAGCGUGGCAGACGUGUUGUUGCCUACCCUUACCACUGGGGGGGGGCGGCCGGUCGAAGUCCAAGAUCCAGUUGCAGAGGGAGGUGUUUAGUUGCAGGGUACUUAGCUUAGUGAUGCGCUUCGUGGGAGCUAUAGUCAAUGAACAGCAUGCUCACAUAGGUGUUCCUUUUGUCCAGGUGGGAAAGGGCAGUGUGGAAUGCAAUUGAGAUUGCGUCAUCUGUGGAUGUGUUUGUUGGGGCAGUAUGCGAAUUGGAGUGGGUCCUAGGGUACCCGGGAUGAUGCUGUUGAUGUGAGCCAUGACCAGCCUUUCAAAGCACUUAAUGGCUACCGACGUGAGUGCUACGGGGUGGUAAUCAUUUAGGCAGGUUACCUUCGCUUCCUUGGGCACAGACACUAUGGUGGUCUGCUUGAAACAUGCAGGUAUUACAGACUCAGUCAGUGAGAGGUUGAAAAUGUCAGUGAAGACAUUUGCCAGUUGGUCCGAGCAUGCUUUGAGUACACGUCACGGUAAUCUAUCUGGCCCCGCGGCUUAGUGAAUGUUGACCUGUUUAAAGAGUGUUAUCACCCAGUAAUCCAGAACAGCUGGUACUCUCGUGCAUGCUUCAGUGUUGCUUGCCUCAAAGCGAGCAUAAAAGGCAUUUAGCUCGUCUGGUAGGCUUGCGUCACUGGGUAGCUCAUGUCUGGGUUUCCCUUUGUAGUUCUUAAUAGAUUUCAAGCCCUGCCACAUCCGACAAGCGUCAGAGCCGGUGGAGUAGGAUUCAAUCUUAAUCCUGUAUUGACGCUUUACUUGUUUGAUGGUUCGUCUGAGGGCAUUAUGGGAUUUCUUAUAAGCAUCCGGAUUAGUGUCCCACUCCUUGAAAGCGGCCGUGCUUCACUGUGGGGAUGAUGUUCUCGGGGUGAUGAGAGGUGUUGGGUUUGCGCCAGACAGCAUUUUUCUUGAUGGCCAAAAAGCACAUCUGACCAGAGUACCUUCUUCCAUAUGUUUGGGGAGUCUCCCACAUGCCUUUUUGCGAACACCAAACAUGUUUGCUUGUUUUUUUUUCUGGCCACUCUUCCGCAAAGACCAGCUCUGUGGGGUGUAAGGCUUAAAGUGGUCCUAUGGACAGAUACUCCAAUCUCCGCUUUGGAGCUCUGCAGCUCCUUCAGGGUUAUCUUUGGUCUCUUUGUUGCCUCUCUGAUUAAUGCCAUCAUUGCCUGGUCCGUGAGUUUUUGGUGGGCAGCCCUCUCUUGACAGGUUUGUUGUGGUGUCAUAUUCUUUCCAUUUUUUAAUAAUGGAUUUAAUGGUGCUCUGUGGAAUGUUCAAAGUUUCUGAUAUUUUUUUGGAACCCAACCCUGAUCUGUACUUCUCCACAACUUUGUCCCUGACCUGUUUGGAGAGCUCCUUGCCUAGUGGUGUUGCAGACUCUGGGGCCUUUCAGAACAGGUGUGUGUGUGUAAAUAUAUACUGAGAUCAUGUGACACUUAGAAUGCAUCCAGGUGGAAUUUAUUUCACAAAUUAUGUGACUUCUGAAGGUAAUUGGUUGCACAAGAUCUUAUUAAACAAGUACUUUUCUUCAUUUCACUUCACCAACUUGGACUAUUUGGUGUAUGUCCAUUACAUGAAAUCCCCUCCAAAAUGUACACUGCUCAAAAAAAUAAAGGGAACACUAAAAUAACACAUCCUAGAUCUGAAUAAAGGAAAUCUUAUUAAAUACUUAUUUCUUUACAUAGUUGAAUGUGCUGACAACAAAAUCACACAAAUUAUCAAUGGAAAUGAAAUUGAUCAACCCAUGGAGGUCUGGAUUUGGAGUCACUCAAAAUUAAAACCACACUACAGGCUGAUCCAACUUUGAUGUAAUGUCCUUAAAACAAGUCACAAUGAGGCUCAAUAGUGUGUGUGACCUCCACGUGCCUGUAUGACCUCCCUUCAACGCCUGGGCAUGCUCCUGAUGAGGUGGCGGGUGGUCUCCUGAGGGAUCUCCUCCCAGACCUGGACUAAAGCAUCCGCCAACUCCUGGAGGUAGUCUGUGGUGCAACGUGGCGUUGGUGGAUGGAGUGAGACAUGAUGUCCCAGAUGUGCUCAAUUGGAUUCAGGUCUGGGGAACGGGCGGGCCAGUCCAUAGCAUCAAUGCCUUCCUCUUGCAGGAACUGCUGACACACUACAGCCACAUGAGGUCUAGCAUGGUCUUGCAUUAGGAGGAACCCAGGGCCAACCGCACCAGCAUAUGGUCUCACAAGGGGUCUGAGGAUCUCAUCUCGGUACCUAAUGGCAGUCAGGCUACCUCUGGCGAGCACAUG
ensembl:lncRNA